rnacentral:rRNA from 1 species
UACGUAGGGUGCAAGCGUUAAUCGGAAUUACUGGGCGUAAAGCGUGCGCAGGCGGUUAUGCAAGGCAGAUGUGAAAUCCCCGGGCUCAACCUGGGAACUGCAUUUGUGACUGCAUGGCUAGAGUACUGUAGAGGGGGAUGGAAUUCCGCGUGUAGCAGUGAAAUGCGUAGAUAUGCGGAGGAACACCGAUGGCGAAGGCAAUCCCCUGGACCUGUACUGACGCUCAUGCACGAAAGCGUGGGGAGCAAACAGG